rnacentral:rRNA from 1 species
AUUGAACGCUGGCGGCAGGCCUAAAACAUGCAAGUCGAGAGGAGCGGCGGACGGGUGAGUAAUGCCUAGUAAUCAGCCUGGAAGUGGGGGAUAACGUCCGGAAACGGGCGCUAAUACCGCACACUAUCAGAUGAGCCUAGGUCGGAUUAGCUAGUUGGGGGGGUAAAGGCAUAACAAGGCGACGAUCCGUAACUGGUCUGAGAGGAUGAUCAGUCAAACUGGAACUGAGACACGGUCCAGACUCCUAAGGGAGGCCGCAGUGGGGAAUAUUGGACAAUGGGCCAAAGCCUGAUCCAGCCAUGCCGCGUGUGGGAAGAAGGUCUUCGGAUUGUAAAGCACUUUAAGUUGGGAGGCGUUACCAACAGAAGAAGCAACGGCUAACGUCGUGCCAGCAGCCGCGGUAAUUC